rnacentral:rRNA from 1 species
AAGGCCUCGUAGCCGGUUCAGGCAAUGUCCUGUGAAAUCGUCUCGCCCAACGGGACGGCGCGCAGGACACACUACCGGACUUGGGACCGAGGAGAGGAACGCAGUAUUCUCGGGGGAGCGGUAAAAUGUUAUAAUCCCGAGAGGACUACCGAUGGCGAAGGCAGCCUUCUAGAACGGAUCCGACGGUGAGGGAUGAAAGCUAGGGGAGCGAUCGGGAUUAGAUACCCCAGUAGUCCUAGCUGUAAACGCUGCGAGCCAGAUGUUGCACAAUCUACGAGAUUGUGCAGUGUCGAAACGAAGGUGUUAAGCUCGCCACCUGGGAAGUACGGUCGCAAGGCUGAAACUUAAAGGAAUUGGCGGGGGAGCACCACAAGGGGUGCGGCGUGCGGUUUAAUCGAAUUCAACGCCGAGAAUCUCACCAGGGGCGACGGCAGGAUGAUAGUCAGUCCAAAGGGCUUACUUGACGAGCCGAGAGGUGAUGCAUGGCCGCCGUCAGCUCGUGCCGUAAGGUGUCCUGUUAAGUCAGGCAACGAGCGAGACCUGUAUCCACUGUUGCUAACGUGCCCGCAAGGGUGAGCGAGCACACUGUGGAGACUGCCUUCGAAAGGAGGAGGAAGGCGCAGGCUACGGUAGGUCUGUAUGUCCCGAAUCUUCUGGGCUACACGCGCGCAACAAUGGUCGUGACAAUGGGCUGCCACACCGAAAGGUGAAGCGAAUCCUCGAAACACGACCUUAGUAUUAAUUGAGGGCUGCAACUCGCCCUCAUGCCACCGGAAUGCCUAGUAAUUGGAAGUUAGCAUCUCCAGUGCAUAUGUGCCCUGCUCUGCUACACACCAACACUACGAGGCGACUGCCGUCGCCCGCCUC